UACAGAGGGGGCAAGCGUUAUUCGGAAUUAUUGGGCGUAAAGGGCGCGUAGGCGGCUAGACAAGUCAAAGGUGAAAUCCCUCGGCUCAACUGAGGAACUGCCUUUGAAACUGUCUGGCUUGAGGCCGGGAGGGGGUAGCGGAAUUCCCAGUGUAGCGGUGAAAUGCGUAGAUACUGGGAGGAACACCAGUGGCGAAGGCGGCUACCUGGACCGGUUCUGACGCUGAGGCGCGAAAGCGUGGGUAGCAAACAGG
rnacentral:rRNA from 1 species